AUCCUUCUGGUUCAGACUAAUGAUGAUUGGUUCGUUCACUUUAUUGUGAAAUGCGCGGCCUUUUUGUUACGACUAGCGCACAGAACCGUCUGAAU